CACUUUUUUUCAGCAAAUAUUAAAGAACCGACGUCAUAGGGUUGGAAUUUUUUGGAAGGGAUUUUGACACCACCUAUGGCGUCGGUUAUUUGGAAAUAACCGACGCCAUAGGGUGUCCCCCCUAUGGCGUCGGUUAUUUCUAAAAAAACCGACGCCUAAAGGGUUUAUAACCCUAGCCCAGCCCAUCAUCUUCCUCAUUCGACCAGCCAACCCAGAAACCCCCAAACCAGAGAACCCCAAACCCUCUCCGCCAACCACCACGAAAAACCACCCCCAUUUCACCAUUUUUUCACCAUUUUAGCUCAUUUUUGUUUCUAAAUCUUCUAUUUUUCAUACCUAAAACUAUAUACCUGAAAAGAUCACAUUUUUCCUCAUUUUUUAGGGUAAACCGAAGGUAGAGGUAGUGGUGGUGGUGGUUAUACCUCCGGCCACCGUUUUUAGUGGAGAAAACAUUGUAUUUCAACGUCUAUUAAGGUUGUGAGGUCAAUUUGCAAGGAUCUGACUUAUUUGGUAUUGAUCGGUUUCUAGUUAGCUCGAGGAUUUUAUCGGAAGUGACUUUAUCAGAAGACAAGUACAUAAUUUUUGGUAUAAGGUAUGCUUUCUUUAACCUACUUUUAUAAGAAUAUUUUUCAUAUAUAUUUAGAUAAUCUUUAAAUGCUUAAAGUAAUUUUAGAAUAAUAUUGAUGUAAUACAUAAG